rnacentral:rRNA from 1 species
AGUGAACGCUGGCGGUAGGCCUAACACAUGCAAGUCGAACGGCAGCACAGGAGAGCUUGCUCUCUGGGUGGCGAGUGGCGGACGGGUGAGGAAUACAUCGGAAUCUGCCCAGUCGUGGGGGAUAACGUAGGGAAACUUACGCUAAUACCGCAUACGACCUUCGGGUGAAAGAGGGGGAUCGCAAGACCUCUCGCGAUUGGAUGAGCCGAUGUCGGAUUAGCUAGUUGGCGGGGUAAUGGCCCACCAAGGCGACGAUCCGUAGCUGGUCUGAGAGGAUGAUCAGCCACACUGGAACUGAGACACGGUCCAGACUCCUACGGGAGGCAGCAGUGGGGAAUAUUGGACAAUGGGCGCAAGCCUGAUCCAGCCAUACCGCGUGGGUGAAGAAGGCCUUCGGGUUGUAAAGCCCUUUUGUUGGGAAAGAAAUCUUUCUGGCUAAUACCCUGGGAGGAUGACGGUACCCAAAGAAUAAGCACCGGCUAACUUCGUG